rnacentral:rRNA from 1 species
AUAUUCCUGUACCACCUAUAAUCGUUUUAAUCGAUGGGGGGACGCAGUAGGAUAGGCGAAGCGUGCGAUUGGAUUGCACGUCUAAGCAGUAAGGCUGAGUAUUAGGCAAAUCCGGUACUCGUUAAGGCUGAGCUGUGAUGGGGAGAAGACAUUGAGUCUUCGAGUCGUUGAUUUCACACUGCCGAGAAAAGCCUCUAGAUAGAAAAUAGGUGCCCGUACCGCAAACCGACACAGGUAGUCAAGAUGAGAAUUCUAAGGUGAGCGAGCGAACUCUCGUUAAGGAACUCGGCAAAAUGACCCCGUAACUUC